UUAAUUUGCAUCCAACUUUUUUUUUAUCUGACAGAUUGGUCUAUUUUCACUUUGAAUCCCUACAUUACCCAUGUUCGAUUGCACACUGGUGGUGAUGCCAGUGAAAUCUCAUUUCUAUCUAAAGAGAGCGGCAGCGCUUUAGUCCUUUAGUCUGUCCAGUGCUUUUACCUCCUCAUCUGUACACUUUGCUCAAACAGAUCAGCUUCCAAAACUUCGACUUUAAUGCUAAUCCUGGCGUCAAUUCCAUCAUGCCUGACAUGUCAUAAAUUGCCAACUAGCUGAGCCGAGUUUCUUCCGUAACUCAGAACUCUGGUGACAUUUUCUGUCACCACUACACUGGAUUUCUCAUUAAUAUGACAUCGAACACAGCUGCAAAAUGCUGAGUGAGAAAAUAAACUCGUUUUUUUCUUUGUUUUUUGGGAGCUAACAGUAAAACCUGGCCGUUCAAAAACCUGAUCACGUAUGCUUGAGAUUGUUUACAUUUUGUCUCCUGCAUUGUCCUUCUCACUGGAAUAACUAAGCACUAAGCACGUCACGUAUAUUUUGAUAUAAACAUAUUCAAUACGUUUUAGGGUGGAGUUUUCCUCUAAGCUUCAAGUGCUUGGAUUGGAUCCUCUUUCUAUGUCACUUUUGGGCCAUAUUCAGAAUUAGAGACUUGGGUCCAAAGUUAUGUUAAUAUUCAGAUAGCGAAGUCAAAGUUAUUCAUAAUCAUAGACAGGUUACGGAACUGCUUAUGAAAAUUUUCUGUGAGGCCUACGCUUUUUUUAUGCAAAUGACUUGCCUUCAGGUUGCCAGGUUUAUCUUGAGCAGAAGCAUAGCAGACGGGGCUUUGCAGUCGCAUCUAGACCAUUGCCUUUAAACACAAGCCUAUAAGCCAGAAAAACAAUCAGGGACAGAAAAUGCAGACGGAAUACAGAAACAGCUUUUGUAUUUAAUAUGAAGAUACAUGAAUGAAAUGAUGGCAAGCAUUGAAAUAAACAUCUACUGGUCUAAUUUAUCGGCGGUAUAUUGCAGCAUUGCUAGUCCUAGUCAUAACAUUAAUCACUACAAAUUUGAUCGCCCUCGUUAUUUGGCAGCUUAUAAAAUAACACUUGAUCCAGCACAUUUAAGAUCAAGGCUUAUUGUGCACGUAAAUCAAUCGAGGCAAGAAAUAGCCAAGACAAUAUGGUCCUUUAGAUUAUAAAAUCAUGUGCCAAGUGAAUAAAAUGUUAAAAUGCCCAUUCAAUUAGGCUUAUUAUCAUAUAAUAACCAAACCGUGAGUGUAACUACUCAUUGUAACAGUACACCAACCCCUGGAGCUUUCUGGACUCCACCCGCAGGACGUUCGAUGUAGAAGAAAACCUGCACAUUAUCCAUAAUUACAUCUUGAUUUUUCCUUCUUUGCUUAUAAGAAUGGCCACCAUUGCUGUUUUAUGUACAGCUGCUUGAAUUCUUAACAGUAAAACCUUUUGUAUUCUGCCCACUGGAUGUUUGAUGGAGAGGUACGAGUUUCCACGUUACCUUGGCUCUCUGGAUGACGUAUUGACUCUCAUGUUCCCUAACAGAUGGUGUUUUCUUGUCGUUUCCCUUUAUCCCGUCUCUUACACUCUCUCUCAUGUCUCUCAGUUUCACUGGCAUGGACAGAUGCUUUACUUUAUGUAUGUGUGUAGCAAUGAAAGCAGGUAUGCACAUACAGCAGUGGUUUUUUGGACGCACCAUAUGGAAGUGUACAGUAGUCACAAAUCUAUUAUCGAACACAGCAUGUGGGUUUUCUAAAUGUAAUACACGUGUCCCCUCUUUAACAUUUACUAUGCACUUGUAUGUUGUUUGUAUGUUGUGUAAUGGCAUGUCCAUGACCUCAGUAUAACAUCUGAACUCGUUACAAAAGCUCUAUCAGGUGCAGUAUCUUAAUAACCGUGAUAUGACUCAAGUAUCUUUUUAAACGUGGUACAACUCAAGGAUAAUAAUACAACCCCUUUAACACAUUCUAUUGUACACAUAUGAAAAGCUAUCGUGUGUGUGUGUGUGUCCUGCUCUGAUGUUUAUUAUACUCGUAUAGAUGCUUUAUAGUGGGAAAAAAUUAACAGUGAUAUCUGCCAUGUUGUCUCUGUUCUGGUUCAGGUCAUAGGUUGCAAUUGUGCAGUGUCUCAGUUACUUAUCUUGCUCUCUCUCUCACACACACACACACACACACACACACAAACACGAAAACACACACAGAGUUCAGUGGAGAAAAAAUGUGUGCAGUGCAUGGACUCUCCAUAACUUGCACUGGGAAACACUACAUUAUUAAAAACCUACUUUGGGAUGCUUUACAUUGUUUAAUUUGAGGAAAUGGCAAUGUGUGUGUGUUUUUUUUGUUUUGUUUUUUAAAAAUAAAAUGUAGUAGCACCUGGUCACUUUUUAUGUUUGCUAGACUAAGGCUGCGUUCCAAUACUGGUCUUGACACAUUCUUAUUGACUUCCCCUUAUCUUUGUGUAUAGAAGUGACCAUUGUGUGGAAUUGUAAUCCCCAUUGGCCUCCUUAGAGUUAUUCCACUUCUCUAAUUAUAAUAAGAAGAAGAAUAAGAAGCAGAAGAAUAUAUUAAGUAUUUUUUUAUAUUAUAAGCACAGGUAUGUAAAGAGUGUUUUAGAGAAUGCAGAUCAAUUUAAUCUGAAAGAAAAAAAAGAUGACGAUGACAGAAAAAGGCAAUAAAACUGGAGGUCAAAUGAUGGACUAGAGGUGAAGUGAAAAAUAUUAGAUAACCAUUUGGAGGGAUUGAUUCACUGGCCAGGUCCCAGCUGGCAUGCUGGCUAAUUAACACACCACCAGUUAAGCUAGCUAAUGAGCAAGCUGAAUUCUCUAGAUAAGAAAAAGUACAAUUAAUCAGUAAACUGCUUCACCUUGGAUGUGCUUUCUAACAAG
ensembl:lncRNA